CUCUAUAGGCAAAACCUGGGCUGAUGAAGCAGCUAGGUCUGCAGCCCUCUAAGACCCAGAUCUACCUCACCCACCACAGGGAGUUCAUACACUACAACCCACGUCCUCACAGUCACCUCCUGACACUCGGCAAAUUCUGCCUUAUUUACACCAGCUCCUGCGCCCUAACACUGUUGUUACAGGACCACCAGCCGGAAGCCAGGGAUCUAUAGACACAAAGACCAACAAACAUUUGUGCCUCCUGAGUAAAGGAUUCUUGGAAGUUCCAGGGAGCUGAAUUGGACCCAUUCAAACAGGUGGGAUUCGCUCCAAAUAAAUAUUAUUCAACCUCUCCACUCUCCACUGGUCCCUGGAUUCCCUUCCCUCAUCUUGGGACUCCCUGGGGAACCCCUCCCUCAUCUUAAAAUCCUCCCCUCAAGUACCAGGACCUAAGAAUUUUUUUUUUUUACCUAACCUCUACUCUGCUAAGAUUCUUCCAGGUCUACAGAGAUGCCAGAGUUCCAAACAGCCAGGACUGCGAUGGAGUAACCACCUAUUCCAGGACGUGGCAGCACUCCAGCUUUCUCAGGUCCCCCAAAAGAUGGUCAAUGUCCCCCAGAUCAGUAGGAAGCAGUCUUGAGAACUCAACACCCUUAUUCCCUAACUUGCCACACCCAACUCCCCACCCUUUUUUUAAUAAUAAGAGGUGAGAUUGUUGGAACAUCAUGCUGACCCGCCCCCGAUGAUGGGCGGGGUUAAGCACAGUGAUGUGGCCACCUCAUCGCUAUGUCACUUGUUAUGGGGCUCAGUGUGCUUGUGCGAGCUUCCCCUUUUAAAUUCCUGUCCUUCAUCUUCCCCCAACUGGUCAACC